rnacentral:rRNA from 1 species
UAUCUCUAGUUGCCAGCGAUUCGGUCGGGGACUCUAGAGAUACUGCCCCGGUUAACGGGAGGAAGGUGGGGAUGACGUCAAGUCCUCAUGGCCCUUAUGCCCAGGGCUACACACGUGCUACAAUGGGCGGUACAAAGGGUAGCGAUGCCGCGAGGUGAAGCCAAUCCCAAAAAGCCGUCCACAGUUCGGAUUGGAGUCUGCAACUCGACUCCAUGAAGCCGGAAUCGCUAGUAAUCGUGGAUCAGCAUGCCACGGUGAAUACGUUCCCGGGCCUU